UACGGAGGGUGCAAGCGUUAUCCGGAUUCACUGGGUUUAAAGGGUGCGUAGGCGGGCAGGUAAGUCAGUGGUGAAAUCUCCGAGCUUAACUCGGAAACUGCCGUUGAUACUACUUGUCUUGAAUAUUGUGGAGGUAAGCGGAAUAUGUCAUGUAGCGGUGAAAAUGCUUAGAUAUGACAUAGAACACCAAUUGCGAAGGCAGCUUACUACACAAUGAUUGACGCUGAGGCACGAAAGCGUGGGGAUCAAACAGG
rnacentral:rRNA from 1 species